CUACCAUUUAGUUUGAGCCACUUUUGACUCCAACACCAUCAUCAAGUUUGCUGAGGACACAGCUGUGUUGGGCCUGAUCACAACAAUAAAU